CCCUUAGAUGUUCUGGGCCGCACGCGCGCUACACUGACGAAUGCAACGAGCUUAUAACCUUGGCCGAAAGGUCUGGGUAAUCUCCAAAUUUCGUCGUGAUGGGGAUAGAUUAUUGCAAUUAUUAAUCUUCAACGAGGAAUGCCUAGUAAGCGCAAGUCAUCAGCUUGCGUUGAUUACGUCCCUGCCCUUUGUACACACCGCCCGUCGCUCCUACCGAUUGGGUGUGCUGGUGAAAUGUUCGGAUCGGCCGUUUGUCGCGGUUUCCGCGGCUCGUGGCUGAGAAGUUCAUUAAACCCUCCCACCUAGAGGAAGGAGAAGUCGUAACA
rnacentral:rRNA from 1 species